AGUGAACGCUGGCGGUAGGCCUAACACAUGCAAGUCGAACGGCAGCACAGAGGAGCUUGCUCCUUGGGUGGCGAGUGGCGGACGGGUGAGGAAUACAUCGGAAUCUACUCUGUCGUGGGGGAUAACGUAGGGAAACUUACGCUAAUACCGCAUACGACUUACGGGUGAAAGCAGGGGACCUUCGGGCCUUGCGCGAUUGAAUGAGCCGAUGUCGGAUUAGCUAGUUGGCGGGGUAAAGGCCCACCAAGGCGACGAUCCGUAGCUGGUCUGAGAGGAUGAUAAGCCAAACGGGAACUGGGACACGGUCCAGCCUCCUACGGGAGGCAGCAGUGGGGAAUAUUGGACCAUGGGCGCAAGCCUGAUCCAGCCAUACCGCGUGGGUGAAGAAGGCCUUCGGGUUGUAAAGCCCUUCUGUUGGGAAAGAAAUCCAGCUGGCUAAUACCCGGUUGGGAUGACGGUACCCAAAGAAUAAGCACCGGCUAACUUCGUGCCAGCAGCCGCCGUAA
rnacentral:rRNA from 1 species